rnacentral:rRNA from 1 species
UACGUAGGGUGCAAGCGUUGUCCGGAAUUAUUGGGCGUAAAGGGCUCGUAGGCGGCGUGUCGCGUCGGGAGUGAAAGCCCGUUGCUUAACGGCGGGUUGGCUUUCGGUACGGGCAUGCUGGAGUGCGGCAGGGGAGACUGGAAUUCCUGGUGUAGCGGUGGAAUGCGCAGAUAUCAGGAGGAACACCGAUGGCGAAGGCAGGUCUCUGGGCCGAUACUGACGCUGGAGGAGCGAAAGCGUGGGGAGCGAACAGG